UAGCUACAUUCAUCUGUAUCUGUGUAUUCUUUAUUGUAGACUGGAGUUAUUCGACGAAUCAUCAACUACUCCAAUAAGAAUCCAUGGCUAUAUGGUAUCUACGUACUCCUAGUGGCCAUUCCUGUAGUGUUGAUAUUUGCCUGUUGUUGUGCAGAAGCAAAGGACACCAAGGAAGAUAAGGAUGCAGAGAGGAAAAAGACCGAUGCACCUUCUCCUGAUGAUCCACAAUCAGAGCAAAA